rnacentral:misc_RNA from 1 species
AAGGAUCAUUAAUGAAUGAAUGUAGAGUCGGUUGUAGCUGGCCUUUCCUCCCAGGGAGGGCAUGUGCACACCUUCUCUUUCAUCCACACACACCCCCUGUGCACUUGUGAGACGGAGGAGGCAUUUUAAUUUCCUUUUAACUAGGGAAAGAGAGAGAGGUCGCCUCCGUCUAUCGUCACAUAAAAUCUAAUUUAUUUAAAAACUGAAUGUAAAUGGAUGUAACACAUCUUAAAUACA